rnacentral:rRNA from 1 species
UCUUUAGCAGAAAGACGUAUAUUCCUUGCUCAUUAUCAGACAAUCGCUUAUUCCCAAACCUCUUGUGGGACUAAUCGUUUUCAUUUACCAUCUCAUGGAAAACCCUUUUCGUUCCGCUUAGCCCUAUCGGGUAUUUUAGUGAUAGGUUCUGUAGGAAGUGGACGGUCCUAUUUGGUCAAGUACCUAACGAAAAAUUACGAUUUUCCUUUCAUUAAGGUACGAGGGCUUCUUAUUCCACAAGAACGAAAAACUCCGGGCUUCAGCAUGGAGGACGCGAAGGUGGAGUUCACGGUCGCCCAAGCGACUAAGAUGGCGGAGCAACAUGCCAUCUUGUAG